rnacentral:rRNA from 1 species
CUGCGGAGGGAUCAUUACCGAGUUUACAACUCCCAAACCCCUGUGAACAUACCACUUGUUGCCUCGGCGGAUCAGCCCGCUCCCGGUAAAACGGGACGGCCCGCCAGAGGACCCCUAAACUCUGUUUCUAUAUGUAACUUCUGAGUAAAACCAUAAAUAAAUCAAAACUUUCAACAACGGAUCUCUUGGUUCUGGCAUCGAUGAAGAACGCAGCAAAAUGCGAUAAGUAAUGUGAAUUGCAGAAUUCAGUGAAUCAUCGAAUCUUUGAACGCACAUUGCGCCCGCCAGUAUUCUGGCGGGCAUGCCUGUUCGAGCGUCAUUUCAACCCUCAAGCACAGCUUGGUGUUGGGACUCGCGUUAAUUCGCGUUCCUCAAAUUGAUUGGCGGUCACGUCGAGCUUCCAUAGCGUAGUAGUAAAACCCUCGUUACUGGUAAUCGUCGCGGCCACGCCGUUAAACCCCCAACUUCUGAAUGUUGACCUCGGAUCAGGUAGGAAUACCCGCUGAACUUAAGCAUAUCAAUA